rnacentral:rRNA from 1 species
AACGAACGCUGGCGGCAUGCCUAACACAUGCAAGUCGAACGAGACCUUCGGGUCUAGUGGCGCACGGGUGCGUAACGCGUGGGAACCUGCCCUUAGGUUCGGAAUAACUCCCCGAAAGGGGUGCUAAUACCGGAUAAUGUCUUCGGACCAAAGAUUUAUCGCCUUUGGAUGGGCCCGCGUUGGAUUAGCUAGUUGGUAGGGUAAAAGCCUACCAAGGCGACGAUACAUAGCUGGUCUGAGAGGAUGAUCAGCCACACUGGGACUGAGACACGGCCCAGACUCCUACGGGAGGAAGCAGUGGGGAAUAUUGGACAAUGGGCGAAAGGCUGAUCCAGCAAGGCCGCGUGAGUGAUGAAGGCCUUAGGGUUGUAAAGCUCUUUUAACCGGGAGGAUAAUGACAGUACCGGGAGAAUAAGCUCCGGCUAACUCCGUG